AAAAAGACAAACCCUGGGUUUCCGUGUUCAAUUUUGAUUGUCCGUCUUAUAUGAAAUUUUUUAUAAUUCGUAUUUUUAUUGUUGUUAGAUGAUAAAACAUGAUUAAUAUUUUAUGCGUGACUUGUCUUUUUAAUUUUUUUCAUAAUUUUUUCAAAUAAGACGGACGGUCAAAUGUUAUACACGAAAACUAAAG
rnacentral:pre_miRNA from 1 species